AACGAACGCUGGCGGCAGGCUUAACACAUGCAAGUCGAGCGCCUCGCAAGAGGAGCGGCAGACGGGUGAGUAACACGUGGGAACGUGCCCAAAGGUACGGAACAACUCCGGGAAACUGGAGCUAAUACCGUAUGUGCCCGAGAGGGGAAAGAUUUAUCGCCUUUGGAUCGGCCCGCGUCUGAUUAGCUAGUUGGUAGGGUAAUGGCCUACCAAGGCGACGAUCAGUAGCUGGUCUGAGAGGAUGACCAGCCACACUGGGACUGAGACACGGCCCAGACUCCUACGGGAGGCAGCAGUGGGGAAUAUUGGACAAUGGGCGCAAGCCUGAUCCAGCCAUGCCGCGUGAGUGGUGAAGGCCUUAGGGUUGUAAAGCUCUUUCGCCAGGGACGAUAAUGACGGUACCUGGAUAAGAAGCCCCGGCUAACUUCGUGCCAGCAGCCGCCGUAAAAC
rnacentral:rRNA from 1 species